ensembl:lncRNA
CGCAGGCCGGGCUGCUGGCCCGCUGUGUCCUAGAGCCCCCGGCUAGUGCUUACACUGGUGCAGGGGAGAGUGGGGUUCUAGCCCCCCCUCCAGGCCACCUUCCACUCCGCUGAGAGUGGGACCAGGCCUAGGGCCAGGCUACCUAGGCUCAAAUCCCGGCUGGCUGCCGCUUGCCAACCCCGUGGCCCCGGGUGCAUCGCUCGGCCCUCCCGGGAGCCAGGAGAGACGCUCCAGACAGUGAAGGCCGUGCCUCUGUCCCGAUCCUGCUGCCUGAAGCUGUUAUCUUGAAUCUGUUGUUUAUUUUUACUUUUCACACAAGGUGACUGAGGCUUCCGGAGGCUGAGCCCCUUCCUGAACAGGGAAGGGAGGUGGUCUGUGAACAGAGAACCGGAGGACGGAGGCUGAGAAAGAAGGUUCGAGGCAGGGACGCAGGGCGGGCCACUGAGGGCAGGCUCUAGGCGCCUCAUCCACGCCAUCCCGCCUGACGGUCUGACCCCAGAGGUGCCCCCGCUCAGGGUGAGCAGGGGGUGUGGGGGGCCGCCCCUGAGAGCGCGGGGAAGGAGCUAACGCCUAGGCCGCUGGGUAUUUGGACGGGAGGCACCGCAGGGCAGAGGGCUGGGUAGUCGUAUUUGCACCCUUAGCGCAGCCCCACCCGCGUCUACCGUGUGAAGCAAUGACCGCCGGGCCCGCCUCACAGGCAGAUGGACUUGGGGCAGAGGAGUUAAAUGUGUGAGCGGCACACCAGGUGUGGACGGAACCCGUCUUCCUCCAGCCUCUUCUCUGCCUGCUGUCCCACGGCCGCUCGCCAGGCUCCACAGGUGUGGGUGCUCUGGGCCACCUGCUCUGGGACAAUGGUCAUCCUCCUCUUGCACUGGCGGCCCAGAGGUCACAGGUCAUUGCCAUGUCCAUCACCCAAUGAGUUCUCCUGGGAGCAGCCUUAUCCAACAGUACCAAAAAUCGGGAAAGAAGAACAAAACAAAGAACGGAGAAAAGGCUGGAUAGCUUUGCGGCAACAGAGCUCAGCCCACACCCCCCCUCUCACCGCAGCCCACGUAUGGGACUGGCCCACAAGUAGGUUGAUUGCUCCAAGGUUGGGGGUUUGUACGAUGUGUGUGGUGGAAACAGAAAGCAGCCAGGACCCUCCCGGUCACUAAGAAAAACCUCACAGGACACAGACUGGGCAGGGAAAGUGGAUGAGGAACUAUGGCAAAAAGGGGGAAGGGAUCAAAGAAUUAGAGUCCGAAUGAAGUUCAGGAGGCAGAACACGGGGAAUAAGGGCGCAAAGGGUUGGAAGGGUGAAGUGUGAAGCCUGAGAUUAAAAGAUUUCUUUUUUUAAUGUUUAUUUAUUUUGAAAGAGAGAGAGCAGGGAAAGGCAGAGAGAGAAGGAGAAAGAGAACCCCAGGCAGGCUCUGAGCUGUGAGCACGGAGCCCAACGUGGGGCUUGAACUCGUGAACUGCGAGACCACGACCUGAGCACAAACCAAGAGUCGGCCACUUAACCAACUGAGCCACCCAGGAGCCCCAUGAGAUUUCUGAGGUUGUGUAAUUCCAGGAGGUGGUGAGCUCCACGGUAUGCAGCCAUCCAUGGUUUGCCGGAAGGGGAGGUGACGAAGUGGUUAUUGGAGUUAUUGGAAGAGGUCAAAGAUGGACAUCAAAGCUGAAGCCAUGAAGUCUAUGGAUGGGCUUGGAGAGGAGAAGAAAGACAAGUGGCAGGCGCCCAAGUGUUUAGGGAAAGAGAGGGAGUGUGAUCAGAAGGUUGUGGAAGGUGGCCACCGGGAGAGGAGGGGGAGGUAGGGACCAAUGACAGGACUGUCAAGAGGGGCGUUUGCAUGGGAAUGGGAGAACAGCCUCCGGGAGCAGCCUGAGAGGCAGUGGGAGACAGGCUUUGCUCCCCUGGGCGGCAGGCAAGACAGAAGAGCAGGAGACCAAAUGAGCAGCGCAUGCUCAGGAAGUACACGGCACAGCCUUGGCCAGGGCUGAAGGAGCCGGCGCGGAGAAUGUUCACGCAACACCAGAUUCUGCCUGAAUAUGCAGAUUAGCUCAGCGUCCGUCGAGGUGCAGCCUUGUGCGGCUUUCCACAGAUGAGGUGGUGUCAGAUGAUGAUCAUCUUCUCAAUUUAAGACUCACACGCUCAUUCUAGUAUGUGUUAUGAAUAUGUAUAUGACCAGCUUGUCAUCCUAGAGAAUUCACAAGUAACUGUGCUUAGCGUAAGAGUUCGGUUUAAAAUCGGGUCAAUUUAAAGAAAGCUAUCAAUGGGGAGCCUGGGUGGCUCCGUCGGCUAAGCAUCUGACUCUUGACUUCAGCUCAGGUCAUGAUCUCACAGUCUGUGAGUUCGAGCCCUGCAUAGGGCUCUGUGCUAACAUCGCAGAGCCUGCUUGGGAUUCUCUCUCUCUCUGCCCCUCCCCUGCUUGUGUGUGCCCUCUCUCUCCUCUCUCUCUCUCUCUCUCUCAAAUAAAUAGACAUUAAAAACAUGAAAGAAGGAUAUC